UACGUAGGGUGCGAGCGUUGUCCGGAAUUAUUGGGCGUAAAGAGCUUGUAGGCGGUUUGUCGCGUCUGCUGUGAAAAUCCGGGGCUCAACCCCGGACUUGCAGUGGGUACGGGCAGACUGGAGUGUGGUAGGGGAGACUGGAAUUCCUGGUGUAGCGGUGGAAUGCGCAGAUAUCAGGAGGAACACCGGUGGCGAAGGCGGAUCUCUGGGCCUUACCUGACGCUCAGGCGCGAAAGCUAGGGGGAGCGAACAGG
rnacentral:rRNA from 1 species